GCAUCUUCUUUCUCUUGCUGCAAUUUCAGGAAGUGAAACAAAUCAAACCCAUUACGCGUCGCGCAAAGGGCGAACGCUUGCGAGAGCCACGUCCUCGUUUUUACUGUGUCGAAGUAAAGAAAAAUAAAGCCAUUGGGAGCGGAAAAGCACAUCGAGCCCCACACCCCACCUCCCUUUCCUCCCCACGCACGCGACCUUUCCUUCGUAGGCACGCCUCAUCCCUCUCGUCUCGUCUCCCCUCUCUAUAUCGCACUCAACCUCUCCCCUCCCGCAAAAUUUACUCGAUCCGGCGAUGCGCCCGCGCCACUGCCGGCGUGCUCCUUUUUGGUCCUCCCCUUCCACCGGAUCGGCCGAUGAGCGGAUUUGCUAGAGGCGGUCGACCAGUGGAGGUGAGGAGGUUAUCCCCGAUGCCCACAUUCCCGAUGCUCGUCUUUUCCUCUCCCAAGUGGCUGCUAGGGUUGCCCCCGCCAUCGCCGCCCCCAUCCCACCUCCUCCGGCGCUGCCCAUCUCCCUUGAGUAGUGCGGUCUGGCGCUCAGCUACGAGGGCAAGGAUCCCCAGCCGCACCAUCCACGUCCUUGCCGUUGUGAUCGCCGCGUCGGGAAGGCAGCACGAACACGCGAUUAGAGGAUCCAGGAGGUUGGUACAUGAGGACGUGGGAAACCAAUGAGGAAGAUGACUGGCGAGAAGGCUGGUUGUGUUUUUUUUCUAGAAGUAAGGCUGGUUGUGGUCAUGGUCCGCCCCCUUCCCAGGCCAAAUGUUGAAUAUCUGGAGCAGAUAAAUUCUUGUUUGGUUCUGGUGCAUCUGAUUUUACCCUUUGCUUUUUCGCUUCAGGUGCAUUCUAGAGGAAGAGGAUGAAGCUGUAUAAAAGACUGCCGAAUUCUUCCUGUUCUAGCAGGUAAAAACUGAACCUGUAUGUUUUGAAAUUUGGGACACAUUUUAAAAACUGGACCUUUACUGUUUGUUCAAAGGAAAUUUACUCUUGCAGAUAUAUACUCUCAUGAUUCGUUGAUAAUAUGUACUGCAGAUUCAUCAUGUACUAAAAAAAAAAUCCUUUGUGAUGCAUCAUAUGAUUUAGUUAUCUUUUACACCUCCUCUUUGGACUUGUUCAUUGUCAACAGCUUUACACAUGGAUCUCAUAUAUCUCAUUUGUAAGGUAAUAGUUCAAAGGUUAAAUGUCUAUGUUUUUUAGCCUGUCUAUCUAAUGGGCACUUAAACUGUAGUUUUUUUUAAUCCUGAUUCGGUUGAGAUACUUUAAAAAUUGAGUGUUAUUCACCUGCCGAUGUGUGAUUCAAUGUAGGGGUAAAGCAACAACGGAGAAAUUUUGAAUUUCACAUAUUGAUCAGUUUAUUUCAAGAGCGCAGGUCAUUUUUCUGUAUGCUGGAUGAAUAGCUCCCUUCUUCAGUAUGUACUUCUAUUGGAAGGACCGAAGAGAAAAUUCAGUGUUUAUACUACUCCGUUUCCAGAAUAGUUAUGCUCUUUCUGCGAAAUCAAACGAGUCAGUGAUACAAAAAUAGUGUUGUUUUUUCUCCUUUUGUUAAUGAUUUGUUCUAACUAUAACGUUAGCAUGAAUUGUAAUGGUGAAAUUAUCCCUACUGCAGAAUAAGUUGGCAUGAAGCAAUCUGUUCCCAAAAUAAUGUAUACAUGUAUUAAUGCCAAUCUCAUGUUUUCCUUCUUUUGCUGAGCUCUAUAUGAACAGUUCUCUAUGUGUAAGUGGUCCAUAUGGAUUUUUAGUAUAUCAUGCUAUGUACAAGUAGUUCUAUAUAUUCAGGUUAGGUAUGAUGGAUAGUGUCAGAUUACUGGGCAUUUAUGUAUAAUUAAAAUUAUAUUAUGAUGCAUUUAUGUAUCCUUAAAGUUCUAUUAUGUUGUUGUGUUAUAUACGAAAAUUGCUGCGUCGAGUUCAGGUAUGGCUCUUUGUGCUACAUCCUCUCUUCUACCUCUGCCUCUGUCAAGCACCACAGAUCCAAUAAGUUGACCUCCUCCCUCUAUUCUUUUAACGUUCUCUAUUUCGACAUAACCAAAUCUUUAAUAGUAAACUGAACUAUGGUCAUUUGGUGUAUCUUGUUUAUAUUAUGACCAAGUGCUGAAAUAGAAAGUGAUGAAAUUGAAGGCCUUUGUCUUUGUUCCAUGGCUCUCAAGUCUGCCACUCCAUCUACUAUGGGAUCACACCAAUUGCUAGAUCUAAUAUGUCAUCUGCUCCUGUACUAAUUAGUAUCUCACGGGCCUUCAGGUUCUGAUGCAAUUUAGAAAAUCCCUCUUUAAGCAAAAGUCUGGUUGACAAUAUAAAACUGUAGCUCUGAAUUUAGUAAUCACUUACCCUCACAAGCAUGUUGAUAAAUUAGCAAGAUGACUAGCUACCUAGCAUAUAUUACUUUUCCUUUUUUUAGAAACUCUAAGUUGUUGGUUCUAAUGUCUUACUGAUUAGAAGCAAUAAUAAAGAUUACCUAUGGUGACAUGACUUGAUAUUCUGAUUGACUUGUUGCCUUCUCUUACAAGUAAACAUGUGUAGCUACUUCGUUCCCUAAUUUUACUGAUGCAUUUUAUUCUGGUAUGUAUCUCAUUUUCGAAGUGGUACAUGUGUUGUAUUAGAAAACACUCUAUAUUGAUUACCUUUUUCCCUUUCUACUCCUUAACCUCAGUUCUCCCUGGUAUCUCUUUUGAGCUCUGACGUAGCAACAAGACAAUCUAGCUAGGUUACUCUGCACAUACCUUCCCUGUGAUGUCACAUUUGCUGUACCCUUGGCUCUUGUUCUUAUUUUGUAGGUAGUCACAUUGCUGUCAUAUUUGUCCUAUAUGAAAACGAAUGCGAUAUAGGACAACCUUGGACGUGGGGAAAAGGGGAGGCAAAGGGCAGUAAAAUCUCAACCAAGGGCGAUGUCCGCAGCUAUGGCAUUGUUCUUCUGGAAAUGCCAGAAAUGACCUACCCAUGAAUAAUUCGAUGAUGGAUUUAUGCUUCGCAAGUAUGUAGAGGCAUCUCUUUCAUGGACUGAAGACAUUCUUCACCUCAACCUUAUUUCAGAAAUAUGAGAUCAACAGGUCGAUCUUAUCCUCAAACUUGCAAGAAUACAAGAAAUUUAUGCUGAAUGAUAUAUGUGCUCUUGGACUCUUUAAAUUUGGCAUUUCAUGCUUUUGUAGAAUCACCAAAAGAAAUACACAUGUAUGAAACUGCUAUGCUUGCCCUGCUUUAUCAA